AUUGAACGCUGGCGGCAGGCCUAACACAUGCAAGUCGAACGGCAGCACAGUAAGAGCUUGUUCUUACGGGUGACGAGGGGCGGACGGGUGCGGAAUACAUCGGAAUCUGCGUUUUAGAGGGGCAAAACGUAGGGAAACUUACCCUAUUACCUCAUACGACCUACGGGUGAAAGCAGGGGAUCUCCGGACCUUGCGCGAUUGAAGGAGCCGAUGUCGGAUUAGCUAGUUGGCGGGGUAAAGGCCCACCAAGGCGACGAUCCGUAGCUGGUCUGAGAGGAUGAUCAGCCACACUGGAACUGAGACACGGUCCAGACUCCUACGGGAGGCAGCAGUGGGGAAUAUUGGACAAUGGGCGAAAGCCUGAUCCAGCCAUGCCGCGUGGGUGAAGAAGGCCUUCGGGUUGUAAAGCCCUUUUGGUGGGAAAGAAAAGCAGCAGGUUAAUACAGCGCUGUUCUGACGGUACCCAAAGAAUAAGCACCGGCUAACUUCGUG
rnacentral:rRNA from 1 species